CCCUUAGAUGUUCUGGGCUGCACGCGCGCUACACUGAUGUGAUCAACAAGUUUUUCCUAUGUCGAUAGACACGGGUAAUCUUUUGAACUCGCAUCGUGAUGGGGAUAGAUUAUUGUAAUUAUUAAUCUUCAACGAGGAAUUCCUAGUAGGUGCAAAUCAUCAGUUUGCAUCGAUUACGUCCCUGCCCUUUGUACACACCGCCCGUCGCUGCUACCGAUUGGUUGAUCUGGUGAAUUAUUCGGACUGCCGGCUGAAGGGGUUUCCUCAUCUGCCAGCGGAAAGUCUUGUUAACCCUAUCAACUAGAGGAAGCAGAAGUCGUAACA
rnacentral:rRNA from 1 species